AGUGAACGCUGGCGGUAGGCCUAACACAUGCAAGUCGAACGGCAGCACAGUAAGAGCUUGCUCUUACGGGUGGCGAGUGGCGGACGGGUGAGGAAUACAUCGGAAUCUACUUUUUCGUGGGGGAUAACGUAGGGAAACUUACGCUAAUACCGCAUACGACCUACGGGUGAAAGCAGGGGAUCUUCGGACCUUGCGCGAUUGAAUGAGCCGAUGUCGGAUUAGCUAGUUGGCGGGGUAAAGGCCCACCAAGGCGACGAUCCGUAGCUGGUCUGAGAGGAUGAUCAGCCACACUGGAGCUGAGACACGGUCCAGACUCCUACGGGAGGCAGCAGUGGGGAAUAUUGGACAAUGGGCGCAAGCCUGAUCCAGCCAUACCGCGUGGGUGAAGAAGGCCUUCGGGUUGUAAAGCCCUUUUGUUGGGAAAGAAAAGCAGCAGGUUAAUACCCCGCUGUUCUGACGGUACCCAAAGAAUGAGCACCGGCUAACUUCGUG
rnacentral:rRNA from 1 species